AUUGAACGCUGGCGGCAGGCCUAACACAUGCAAGUCGCACGAGUGGCGGACGGGUGAGUAAUGUCUGGGAAACUGCACGAUGGAGGGGGAUAACUACUGGAAACGGUAGCUAAUACCGCAUACCCUCGGAUGUGCCCAGAUGGGCUUAGCUAGUAGGUGGGGUACUGGCUCACCUAGGCGACGAUCCCUAGAUGGUCUGGGAGGAUGACCAGCCACACUGUAACGGAGACACGGUCCAUACUCCUACGGGAGGCAGCUGUGGGGAAUAUUGCACAAUGGGCGCAAGCCUGAUGCAGCCAUGCCGCGUGUAUGAAGAAGGCCUGCGGGUUGUAAAGUACUUUCAGCGAGGAGGCGUUACUCGCAGAAGAAGCACCGGCUAACUCCGUGCCAGCAGCCGCGGUAAUAC
rnacentral:rRNA from 1 species